UACGUAGGGGGCUAGCGUUGUCCGGAUUUAUUGGGCGUAAAGAGCGUGUAGGCGGCCAGAUAGGUCUGCUGUGAAAACUCGAGGCUCAACCUCGAGAUGUCGGCGGAAACCAUCUGGCUAGAGUCCGGAAGAGGAGAAUGGAAUUCCCGGUGUAGCGGUGAAAUGCGCAGAUAUCGGGAAGAACACCCGUGGCGAAGGCGGUUCUACUGGGA
rnacentral:rRNA from 1 species